rnacentral:rRNA from 1 species
GAUGAACGCUGGCGGCGUGCCUAAUACAUGCAAGUCGAGCGAACAGACGAGGAGCUUGCUCCUUUGACGUUAGCGGCGGACGGGUGAGUAACACGUGGGUAACCUACCUAUAAGACUGGGAUAACUUCGGGAAACCGGAGCUAAUACCGGAUAAUAUUUCGAACCGCAUGGUUCGAUAGUGAAAGAUGGCUCUGCUAUCACUUAUAGAUGGACCUGCGCCGUAUUAGCUAGUUGGUAAGGUAACGGCUUACCAAGGCAACGAUACGUAGCCGACCUGAGAGGGUGAUCGGCCACACGGGAACUGAGACACGGUCCAGACUCCUACGGGAGGCAGCAGUAGGGAAUCUUCCGCAAUGGGCGAAAGCCUGACGGAGCAACGCCGCGUGAGUGAUGAAGGUCUUCGGAUCGUAAAACUCUGUUAUUAGGGAAGAACAAACGUGUAAGUAACUGUGCACGUCUUGACGGUACCUAAUCAGAAAGCCACGGCUAACUACGUG